rnacentral:rRNA from 2 species
AGACCCGAAACCCGGUGAUCUAGCCAUGGGCAGGUUGAAGGUUGGGUAACACUAACUGGAGGACCGAACCGACUAAUGUUGAAAAAUUAGCGGAUGACUUGUGGCUGGGGGUGAAAGGCCAAUCAAACCGGGAGAUAGCUGGUUCUCCCCGAAAGCUAUUUAGGUAGCGCCUCGUGAAUUCAUCUCCGGGGGUAGAGCACUGUUUCGGCAAGGGGGUCAUCCCGACUUACCAACCCGAUGCAAACUGCGAAUACCGGAGAAUGUUAUCACGGGAGACACACGGCGGGUGCUAACGUCCGUCGUGAAGAGGGAAACAACCCAGACCGCCAGCUAAGGUCCCAAAGUCAUGGUUAAGUGGGAAACGAUGUGGGAAGGCCCAGACAGCCAGGAUGUUGGCUUAGAAGCAGCCAUCAUUUAAAGAAAGCGUAAUAGCUCACUGGUCGAGUCGGCCUGCGCGGAAGAUGUAACGG